rnacentral:rRNA from 1 species
UACGUAGGUGGCGAGCGUUGUCAGGAAUUACUGGGUGUAAAGGGCGUGUAGGCGGGACUGUAAGUCAGAUGUGAAAUUCCCCGGCUCAACUGGGGCGCUUCAUCUGAAACUAUGGUUCUUGAGUGCUGGAGAGGGAAGCGGAAUUCCAAGUGUAGCGGUGAAAUGCGUAGAUAUUUGGAGGAACACCAGUGGCGAAGGCGGCUUUCUGGACAGUAACUGACGCUGAGGCGCGAAAUCGUGGGGAGCAAACAGG